UACGGAAGGCAGCAGUAGGGAAUAUUGGGCAAUGGAGGCAACUCUGACCCAGCCAUGCCGCGUGCAGGAUGAAGGCGCUCAGCGUUGUAAACUGCUUUUAGCUGGGAAGAAAAGCAGUCCUGGGGAUUGUGUGACGGUACCAGCGGAAUAAGCACCGGCUAACUCCGUGCCAGCAGCCGCGGUAAUACGGAGGGUGCGAGCGUUGUCCGGAUUUAUUGGGUUUAAAGGGUGCGUAGGUGGUUUUUCUAAGUCUGGUUUUGAAAGCAGGCGGCUUAACCGUCUGAUGUGGCUGGAAACUGGGGAACUUGAAUAGGUUAGCGGCUGCCGGAACGGGUCAUGUAGCGGUGAAAUGCAUAGGAUAUGACCCAGAACACCGAUUGCGAAGGCAGGCAGCCAGGACCUGAUUGACACUGAGGCACGAGAGCAUGGGGAGCCGAACAGGAUUAGGAAU
rnacentral:rRNA from 1 species